rnacentral:rRNA from 1 species
UGCCAGCAGCCGCGGUAAUACGAAGGGGGCUAGCGUUAUUCGGAAUCACUGGGCGUAAAGCGCACGUAGGCGGCUUGGAAAGUUAGAGGUGAAAUCCCAGGGCUCAACCCUGGAACUGCCUUUAAAACUAUCAAGCUAGAGAUUGCUAGAGGGUGGUGGAAUUCCUAGUGUAGAGGUGGAAUUCGUAGAUAUUAGGAGGAACACCAGUGGCGAAGGCGGCCACCUGGGGCAAUACUGACGCUAAGGUGCGAAAGUGUGGGGAGCAAACAGGAUUAGAUA